rnacentral:rRNA from 1 species
AUUGAACGCUGGCGGCAGGCCUAACACAUGCAAGUCGAGCGGAUGAGUGGAGCUUGCUCCAUGAUUCAGCGGCGGACGGGUGAGUAAUGCCUAGGAAUCUGCCUGGUAGUGGGGGACAACGUUUCGAAAGGAACGCUAAUACCGCAUACGUCCUACGGGAGAAAGCAGGGGACCUUCGGGCCUUGCGCUAUCAGAUGAGCCUAGGUCGGAUUAGCUAGUUGGUGGGGUAAAGGCCUACAAAGGCGACGAUCCGUAACGGGUCUGAGAGGAUGAUCAGUCACACUGGAACUGAGACACGGUCCAGACUCCUACGGGAGGCAGCAGUGGGGAAUAUUGGACAAUGGGCGAAAGCCUGAUCCAGCCAUGCCGCGUGUGUGAAGAAGGUCUUCGGAUUGUAAAGCACUUUAAGUUGGGAGGAAGGGCAGUAAGUUAAUACCUUGCUGUUUUGACGUUACCAACAGAAUAAGCACCGGCUAACUUCGUGCCAGCAGCCGCCGCGGUAA